GAUGAACGCUAGCGGCAGGCUUAAUACAUGCAAGUCGAGGGGCAGCAGCCCUGUAGCAAUACAGGGGCUGGCGACCGGCAAACGGGUGCGGAACACGUACGCAAUCUACCCAUAACUGGGGAAUAGCGCUCCGAAAGGAGGAUUAAUACCUCGUAACCUUUGAAGGUGGCAUCACCUUCUUAGUAUAGCUCCGGCGGUUAUGGAUGAGCGCGCGGCUGAUUAGGUAGUUGGGGGGGUAACGGCCCACCAAGCCUGCGAUCAGUAACUGGUGUGAGGGAACGACCAGUCACACGGGCACUGAGACACGGGCCCGAAUCCUACGGGAGGCAGCAGUAAGGAAUAUUGGACAAUGGAGGCAACUCUGAACCAGCCAUGCCGCGUGAAGGAUGAAGGUCCUCUGGAUUGUAAACUUCUUUUACAGGGGAAGAAACCACUUUUUUCCAAAAGUGUUGACGGUACCCUGGGAAUAAGCACCGGCUAACUCCGUGCCAGCCGCCGCGGUAAAAC
rnacentral:rRNA from 1 species